GCCUACGGGGCGCAGCAGUAGGAAAUCUUCCACAAUGGGCGGAAGCCUGAUGGAGCAACGCCGCGUGGGUGAAGAAGGUCUUCGGAUCGUAAAACCCUGUUGUUAGAGAAGAAAGUGCGUGAGAGUAACUGUUCACGUUUCGACGGUAUCUAACCAGAAAGCCACGGCUAACUACGUGCCAGCAGCCGCGGUAAUACGUAGGUGGCAAGCGUUAUCCGGAUUUAUUGGGCGUAAAGAGAACGCAGGCGGUCUUUUAAGUCUGAUGUGAAAGCCUUCGGCUUAACCGGAGUAGUGCAUUGGAAACU
rnacentral:rRNA from 1 species